rnacentral:rRNA from 1 species
AUUGAACGCUGGCGGUAGGCCUAACACAUGCAAGUCGAGCGGCAGCACAGUAAUAGCUUGUGCUUACAGCGGCCGACGGGCGAGCGGUGCAUAGGUACAUGCCUGUCUGCUUUUGCUUAGGUGAGGACAUGGGGGAACUUACCGUAAUAGCCCAGACGACCUACGUGUGGAAUCAUCGGAUCUUCCGACCUUACGCGAGUGUAGGACGCGAGGUCGGAUUAGCUAGUUGGUGGGGUAAAGGCCCACCAAGGCGACGAUCCGUAGCUGGUCUGAGAGGAUGAUCAGUCACACUGGAACUGAGACACGGUCCAGACUCCUACGGGAGGCAGCAGUGGGGAAUAUUGGACAAUGGGCGAAAGCCUGAUCCAGCCAUACCGCGUGUGUGAAGAAGGUCUUCGGAUUGUAAAGCACUUUUGUUGGGAAAGAAAAGCAGUAGGUUAAUACCUUGCUGUUUUGACGGUACCAACAGAAUAAGCACCGGCUAACUUCGUG